UACCUCCGGCCAAGUGGGGCCGGGGAAGGACCAAUCGGGGUCGAUAUG
rnacentral:ncRNA from 1 species